CCCUACACAUCAGCGAGCAGGGUGGGGUGGGGGGGGGGGNACAGAGCUGGGGGGAGAAGGAAGGAAGCGAGGGACAUUUGGAGGGAUGGCGUUUGUCUACCCAAGUGACCAUGACACGUGAUGGAGCCCUGCUGUCCUGGGGAUGGCUGAGCACCUGCCUGCCCAUGGGAGGGGGUGAAUGAAUUCCCUGUUCUGCCUCACUUGCACAUGCAGCUUUUGCUUUACCUAUUAAACUGUCUUUAUCUCAACCCACAAGUUUUCUCACUUUCACCUUUCUGAUUUCCCUGUCCCACCGAGGCGGUGGGGAGGAGUAAGUGAGCGGCUGCGUGGGGCUUAGUUGCCAGACGGGGUUAAACCACAACAGCCCUGAAUUAUCAACACCAUUUCCAGCACUAAGGCAAAACACAGCCCCAUGCUAGGUACUGUGAAGAAAAUUAACUUUACCCCAGCCAAAUCCAGCACAACCAUGCAAUAACUACUCCUGCUUACACUGAAUUAAGUUAAUACAGUCACCUAUAAGUAGCUUUUAUUUUUUUCACAGAGACAUGAACUUUCCUGUUGUCAAACAGUGUGAACCCAUCGUGCACUAUUACUCUCUCUCCUGACAGCGGAGACGACUCAGGAAACAGGUCACAGGACUUUAACACGUUUGCUACCACAAACCUCAUGCUUUAGUAAACACAUACGCAACGGGAAUCGCUUACUCAUACCCUUCACAUGAACAUGGCUUUAACUGCAGUGCCACCACCUUGACUGAAUUUUCCACCACUCUUUGAAGUUCAUUCCCUAUAUGACACCUAAAUAGUCCACCUCAUCUUCUGCCUCACAGCUGGCAGCCCCCAGCGCGGACAGAGCCCUGCAGAUUGCUAUGGACAGGCUACAGAGCGUAACGCCAAAGUGAUGCUGCUGAGCCUGCUAAAUUCACAUCCUUUUCUGAUUGCAUGUUGUGCUUUCAAGAGGAGCUCAAGAAAGGCCCCAAGAGUUCUCCUCACAUCACAGAUCGCUCAGCCAAGCUGCUUGAAGGCGAUCCCUUUUUGUCCUUUCUGUAACUACAUCUACACGCACACAGGUGUAUAUACCACUUCCAAGGAAGGGAGCACCCACGACUGCAGACAGCUGUGAUGGAGGCGAGGGGACCGGACCAAAAGCCCUGUUAGAGGCACCUCUUCAAUCCACCUGCUGCUAAACCCCUGCCAGCUGUCAGUCACCGGCUGCCAUCACCGCCACCCCGCAGGGGUUAACAGCCUUAGUUCCCGAACCUUCCAGCAGAUGUCCUCACAAGGCAGGCCCGGCGGGGGGUGAGUGCGUGUGUGUGUGAGAGGUGGCACCAUUUAGAAAAGGCAGAUGGGAAGGAAAAUACAACUUAAAAUAAGGGUGAUAUAAAUACAUAAACAAAUUCAAAGUAUUUCAUUUAUUCUCCAAUGCCAAACUUAAAAACAUAGGCAGCAUGUUAAAAAAAUAAAGCUGUCAUCUUAAAAACUAGAAGAAAAAAAAAGUCACCUGAACAAGUAUAUAACCAGCACAUCUGUUUGAAGUAGCAUACCUGUUCGCAAUUUGUUCGGUAAUUCUUACACCCCACUUAUAAACAAAACAGCACGUUCAAAAAAUGAUGGUGAAAAGCAUGAACAUGAAGAAAACAGCAUAAAGACUCUAAUCCCAUCCUCCCUUCAUUCCUUGUUAAAACUGACGCUAUUUUAUUGCGUGCACAGAGCUGAAGCGCAACUUUCUGCACUACUCCCUAGUGGCAAUGACAUACAAAUGUUGUCACAAAGUUGGUAUUCUUGGAAGCAUAAAAUCCACCAUGUAUUUCAGGGAGACUUAAAAAGAACUCUUUCCAUAAAAUAGUGAUCCUCAUUACUACUGCUACAAGUUUUGAAACCACAUAAAAAAUAUUUGACUUGUCCUUGCACAUAGCGAGUAAUGCAUCCACAGUUAACUACCCCCACACACGACUGAAAUAAUGAUUCAGACUAGUACCGGUCUACAAACUCAAAGCUGGGAUUCUCCACCCAGGUCUAGAAGGCCGGUAUCU
rnacentral:lncRNA from 1 species